rnacentral:rRNA from 1 species
GAUGAAUGCUGGCGGCGUGCCUAACACAUGCAAGUCGAGCGGCAGCGAGGGGUGCUUGCACCCUGUCGGCGAGCGGCGAACGGCUGAGUAACGCGUAGGAAUUUGCCCCAAAGUGAGGAAUAACUGCCCGAAAGGGUAGCUAAUGCCGCAUAUGGUCUUCGGAUUAAAGGAUUUAUCCGCUUUGGGAGAAGCCUGCGUUGGAUUAGGUUGUUGGUAGGGUAAUGGCCUACCAAGCCGACGAUCCAUAGCUGGUCUGAGAGGAUGAUCAGCCAGACUGGAACUGAGACACGGUCCAGACUCCUACGGGAAGCAGCAGUGAGGAAUCUUCCACAAUGGGCGAAAGCCUGAUGGAGCAACGCCGCGUGAAGGAUGAAGGCCUUCGGGUUGUAAACUUCUUUUAUGAGUGAAGAAUAUGACGGUAACUCAUGAACAAGCACCGGCUAACUACGUG